rnacentral:tRNA from 1 species
UGGCGAGAUAGCUCAGUUGGCUAGAGCACAUGGUUCAUACCCAUGGUGUCGAGGGUUCGACUCCCCCUCUCGCUAU